rnacentral:rRNA from 1 species
GUCGAUAACUUGCCCUUAGGUCUGGGAUAACCUCGGGAAACUGAGGCUAAACCCGGAUAGGAAAUAGUCUCUGGAAGGAAUUAUUUCUUAAAGGCAACGCCUAAGGAUAGGUCGGCGGCGGAUUAGGCUGUUGGUGAGGUAAUGGCUCACCAAACCGAAGAUCCGUAGGGGCUUUGAGAGAAGUUGCCCCGAGAAGGGCACUGAGACACUGGCCCUAGCCCUACGGGGUGCAGCAGGCGCGAAAACUUUACAAUGCACGCAAGUGUGAUAAGGGAAUCCAAAGUGCUUAGCUUUGCUAGGCUUUUGCCGAGAGCAAAUAUCUCGGAGAAUAAGUGGUGGGCAAGACUGGUGCCAGCCGCCGCGGUAACACCAGCUCCACGAGUGGGGAUCCCGUUUAUUGGGCCUAAAGCGUCCGUAGCUGGCUUGGUAAAUCUUUUGUGAAAUCGAUCAGCUUAACUGAUCGGCGUGCAGGAGAGACUGCCAAACUAGGGACCGGGAGGAGUCAGAGAUAUGCCAAGGGGAGCGGUAAAAUGCUAUAAUCCUUGGUAGAUCACCUGUGGCGCAGGCGUCUGACUAGAACGGGUCCGACAGUGAGGGACGAAAGCCAGGGGAGCAAACCGGAUUAGAUACCCGAGUAGUCCUGGCCGUAAACGCUGCGAGCUAGGUGUCGCAUAAUCUUCGAGAUUGUGCGGUGUCGGAGCGAAGGUGUUAAGCUCGCCGCCUGGGAAGUAUGGUCGCAAGACUGAAACUUAAAGGAAUUGGCGGGGGAGCACUACAAAGGGUGCGGCGUGCGGUUUAAUCUAACUCCACACAGAGCAUCUCACCAGAGGCGACGGCAGGAUGAAAGUCAGUCUGAAGGGCUUACUUGACGAGCCGAGAGGUAGUGCAUGGCCGCCGUCAGCUCGUGCCGUAAGGUGUCCUGUUAAGUCAGGCAACGAGCGAGACCUGUAUCUACAAUUGCUAACGACCCAUUUUGGGAAUCGAGCACAUUGUAGGGACUGCCUUGGAAACAAGGAGGAAGGCGCAGGCAACGGUAGGUCUGUAUGCUCCGAAUCUUCUGGGCUACACGCGCGCAACAAUGGUGCAAACAAUGGGUUGCAACUCCGAAAGGAGAAGCUAAACCUCGAAAUUGCAUCCAAGUCCAGAUUGAGGGCUGUAACUCGCCCUCAUGACGUUGGAAUCCCUAGUAAUCGAACGUCAUCAGCGUUCGGUGAAUAUGUCCCUGCUCCUUGCACACACCGCCCGUCAAACCACCCGAGUAGGGUCUAGAUGAGGCCCCAUUUUUAAUGUGGUCGAAUCUAAGCUUUGCGAGGAGGGUUAAGUCGUCACAAGGUA